rnacentral:rRNA from 1 species
ACUUGAAUUGAAGAGUUUGAUCAUGGCUCAGAUUGAACGCUGGCGGCAGGCUUAACACAUGCAAGUCGAACGGUAGCAGGAGAAAGCUUGCUUUCUUGCUGACGAGUGGCGGACGGGUGAGUAAUGCUUGGGAAUUGGCUUAUGGAGGGGGAUAACGACGGGAAACUGUCGCUAAUACCGCGUAUUAUCGGAAGAUGAAAGUGCGGGACUGAGAGGCCGCAUGCCAUAGGAUGAGCCCAAGUGGGAUUAGGUAGUUGGUGGGGUAAAGGCCUACCAAGCCUGCGAUCUCUAGCUGGUCUGAGAGGAUGACCAGCCACACUGGAACUGAGACACGGUCCAGACUCCUACGGGAGGCAGCAGUGGGGAAUAUUGCGCAAUGGGGGGAACCCUGACGCAGCCAUGCCGCGUGAAUGAAGAAGGCCUUAGGGUUGUAAAGUUCUUUCGGUAUUGAGGAAGGUUGAUGUGUUAAUAGCACAUCAAAUUGACGUUAAAUACAGAAGAAGCACCGGCUAACUCCGUGCCAGCAGCCGCGGUAAUACGGAGGGUGCGAGCGUUAAUCGGAAUAACUGGGCGUAAAGGGC